AUGCGGCGUGCUAGCACAUGCAGUCGUACGCGGUGGCAACACCGAGUGGCGAACGGGUGCGUAACACGUGAGGAACCUACCCCGAAGUGGGGGAUAACACCGGGAAACCGGUGCUAAUACCGCAUACGCUCCCCGGACCGCAUGGUCCAGGGAGCAAAGCCUCCGGGCGCUUCGGGACGGCCUCGCGGCCUAUCAGCUUGUUGGUGGGGUAACGGCCCACCAAGGCGACUACGGGUAGCUGGUCUGAGAGGACGAUCAGCCACACUGGGACUGAGACACGGCCCAGACUCCUACGGGAGGCAGCAGUGGGGAAUAUUGCGCAAUGGGCGAAAGCCUGACGCAGCAACGCCGCGUGGAGGACGAAGGCCUUCGGGUUGUAAACUCCUUUCAGCAGGGACGAAACUGACGGUACCUGCAGAAGAAGCCCCGGCUAACUACGUGCCAGCAGCCGCGGUAAG
rnacentral:rRNA from 1 species